rnacentral:rRNA from 1 species
GACGAACGCUGGCGGCGUGCUUAACACAUGCAAGUCGAACGGACAGGCCUCUUUCGGGGGGUUCUCGCGUGGCGAACGGGUGAGUAACACGUGAGUAACCUGCCCUUGACUUUGGGAUAACUUCCUGAAACUGGGGCUAAUACCGGAUAGGAGCUCCUUCUGCAUGGUUGGGGUUGGAAAGUUUCGGCGGUUGGGGAUGGCCUCGCGGCUUAUCCGCUUGUUGGUGGGGUAGUGGCUUACCAAGGCUUUGACGGGUAGCCGGACUGAGAGGGUGACCGGCCACAUUGGGACUGAGAGACGGCCCAGACUCCGAAGGGAGGGAGCAGUGGGGAAUAGUGCAGAAUGGGUGGAAGCCGGAUGAAGCAACGCCGUGUGCGGGAUGACGGCGUUAGGGUUGAAAACCGCUUGCGCUCAUGACGAAGCUUUGUGUGACGGUAGUGGGUAAAGAAGCACCGGCUAACUACGUG